rnacentral:rRNA from 1 species
UAUGGUUCCUUAGAUCGCACUUACUACUUGGAUAACUGUGGUAAUUCUAGAGCUAAUACAUGCGCAGAGCCCCAACCUUCGUGGAAGGGGCGCUUUUAUUAGAUCAAAGCCAAUCGAGUUUCGGCUCGUUUCUUUGGUGACUCUGAAUAACUUUGCUGAUCGCAUGGUCUCGUACCGGCGACGUAUCUUUCAAGUGUCUGCCUUAUCAACUUUCGAUGGUAGGUUAUGUGCCUACCAUGGUUGUAACGGGUAACGGGGAAUUAGGGUUCGAUUCCGGAGAGGGAGCCUGAGAAACGGCUACCACA